UACAGAGGUCUCAAGCGUUGUUCGGAUUCAUUGGGCGUAAAGGGUGCGUAGGCGGCGCGGUAAGUCGGGUGUGAAAUCUUGGAGCUUAACUCCGAAACUGCAUUCGAUACUGCCGUGCUUGAGGACUGGAGAGGAGACUGGAAUUUACGGUGUAGCGGUGAAAUGCGUAGAUAUCUGGAGGAACACCGGUGGCGAAGGCGGCAUCCUGGACCGACACUGGCGCUGAGGAGCGAAAGCCAGGGGAGCAAACGGG
rnacentral:rRNA from 1 species